UGUGAUCCUGCUCCUCCUAUACUUGUCACAUACCAAAAAAAUGUCUUCAUAUGGCUGAGACACAAACUCCAUACAACACAGCCCUGGAUCAAGGGACACCUGUGCUCAAGUGGCACAAGUCAUGGUCUCCAAAACUGAUCCCACCAAGUCAAGAAUCAUUGCAGUGACAGUUUGUUUUGAGAACUACCACAAACUCUGAGUUUCCACAGAGGAAAGGUGGUACUGAAGCACUGUAAGAAUGCAGGAGAUUUCUGUACUGUGUAUCUAAUGAAUUCUGUUUAGGUUUAACUUCUCCAUUCAUUUUUUCCCCCUCAUACAGAAGAGAAGUUGAUCCAUUCUGCAUGCAAACAGUACCCAUCUAGUUAGUAUGAAGAAACUACUUCAGACUGUCAACGUGCAGCUAGGGGAGCCUUCAGACAGAAUGGAAGGCAAAUUGACCAAACAUUGAUUUAUAACAACAGCCAGCCAAUGAAGGCAGAAAUGUGAAAACAGUGUGAGCAGAGUGUGAAACAAAAACCUGAACUGUCAGGGUACUGAAAGAAAAACCAGUUGCUUUCCUCAGUGACAUAAAUUGAAAUAAAAGUCAUCUGGCAGAAAUAUAAGCAAUGCUACUGCAACAACACGUAAAUAACUUGGAUUACUUCAAAAGAGUUGUUCUGUAGAGCUGAAGCCAACUGCUGGUUGCAUAUAUCACAUCCACUCGCAGAAGCUAACAGGCUAGAACAUGUAUUCUGCAGAGUUUCCAUUCUCUGAAGAGUUGGAAUAUUCUCUCUUGCUAGAGCAAUCUAGAACACAAAUACUUUAUUUAGGAUCUGAAACAGUGCCCAUGGAUUACAGAAUAGCUGUUACCAGCACUGCUUUUUCUGUUUAUCCCCAAGAAUUGCAUAAACAUUACUGUUAGCGCAUUCUUCCUGUGUUUAGAUAAAGAAAUUGGUUAUAUACUGACCACAGGUUAUUUCAACAAAUGAGCUGGCCAAAAACUGCAGAAACAGUAAUCCUUUUGUGUACAUACCGCAGCUAUAGGUGAUACACAAAUUUAUACUGAAUUCCAAAGAUGCAUAUUGUUUUACUAUUCAUGUAACUCUACAGGUAAUUGUUAAUCAAUAAUCUGUUAAAAUUGUUGUGUUCUGUUCCAAUGCAUGCAGUUAUUUUAUACACUUAUCAUACUGCCAUUUAAUUCAUUGAAGAUACAAGCACCUUAUGAAGUUUAUUCUGAAAUAAUCAUUACUAAAUACUCAAGCUUGUAAGGAUGUGAAUGCUGAUUUUGAAGAGAAUCUCUCCAAUAGCCAGUGGCUCACCAUACACUAAGUCUACCUGUCCUCAGCUACAGCAAUGCAUUUUAGUUACCCUUGAUAUUACACAAGUUUUAACAUCUCAGCUGCACCUAUCAUCUCAAAGCCCUUCACAAAGGAUAGCACACAUUGAUAAUUUGAGAACAAUUUGUCAUCACCUAUGUGUUAGUGUGUGCCAAGGUAAAAAGCAGUUUGUUUUCCUCAGAGUUCAGACUUGGAGAAAGACAUUGGACUCUGCAGGGAAACACCUCAAAGAAAACACCAAAAUACCAACAAGAGAAGGGAUUAACACAAUACUUGAAUUAAUUCAGUUUAUUUUCCACUUGUUUUAUUUCUUACAUUAAAGUUCUGAGAGUCAUGUUUCCUUUAUAUGCCUUAUUUCAUGUAAAGAUACAAACAUUUUAAAAAUAUUGGAAAAAGAACAACCGAAGUGUAUUUUAGGACUACAGAACCCUUUUCACCUUGCCAAAAAUAUAUAACCCACAGAGACAGGAAGCAAGAUAAGAAGAAAAAAUGCUACUGUAUUGAGGUGUAAGGUAAAGGUCAGUAAAUCACAUAAGCAUUCUUAUUUCAAGGCUGACUUACUGGGUAAAUUACUCUGAAUCCCAUAUAGUAUCUACAGAAAGUUGUUUAGAGAUUCAAAGCCGGCACAAACUACUCUAGUGGGGGAGGGUGGAAAUCUAAAUUAUGAACUCAAUCAUUAGUGAGUAGAUAACUAAACAUAAAAUAUUGAAAAUAUUCAUAAAGAAAAAAGUCCAUGCUCAUUUCAUCCACUUCCUAUGAGCAGUCCAUUUAAUACAUGCAAAACUAAGUGGAAAGUGGUUCAUUGAACAGAAACUUUUCAGAAUAUCUAUACCAGAAACCAAAGGCUCACUGUAUUUCCACCCACCACCCAACUAGAAA